AUUGAACGCUGGCGGCAGGCCUAACACAUGCAAGUCGAACGAGUGGCGGACGGGUGAGUAAUGUCUGGGAAACUGCCCGAUGGAGGGGGAUAACUACUGGAAACGGUAGCUAAUACCGCGUACCAUCGGAUGUGCCCAGAUGUGAUUAGCUUGUAGGUGAGGUAACGGCUCACCUAGGCGACGAGCCCUAGCUGGUCUGAGAGGAUGACCGGCCACACUGGACCUGAGACACGGCCCAGACCCCUACGGGGGGCAGCAGUGGGGAUUUUUGCCCAUGGGGCGCAAUCCUGAUGCAGCCAUGCCGCGGAUAUGAAGAAGGCCUUCGGUUGGUAAAGUACUUUCAGCGGGGAGGCGGUACCCGCAGAAGAAGCACCGGCUAACUCCGUGCCAGCAGCCGCGGUAAUAC
rnacentral:rRNA from 1 species